UACGGAGGAUGCGAGCGUUAUCCGGAUUUAUUGGGUUUAAAGGGUGCGUAGGCGGAUCGUUAAGUCAGUGGUCAAAUUGGGGGGCUCAACCCCUUCCCGCCAUUGAAACUGGCGAUCUUGAGUGGAAGAGAAGUAUGCGGAAUGCGUGGUGUAGCGGUGAAAUGCAUAGAUAUCACGCAGAACCCCGAUUGCGAAGGCAGCAUGCCGGCUUCCGACUGACGCUGAAGCACGAAAGCGUGGGGAUCGAACAGG
rnacentral:rRNA from 1 species